rnacentral:piRNA from 1 species
UCCAAUCUUAAAUCUUCGGGCAUCUUCAGGA